UACGUAGGGGGGCAAGCGUUGUCCGGAUUUACUGGGCGUAAAGAGCGUGUAGGCGGCCACGCAGGUCCGUUGUGAAAACUGGAGGCUCAACCUCCAGACGUCGACGGAAACCGUAUGGCUAGAGUCCGGAAGAGGAGAGUGGAAUUCCUGGUGUAGCGGUGAAAAUGCGCAGAUAUCAGGAAGAACACCAAUGGCGAAGGCAGCUCUCUGGGACGGUACUGACGCUGAGACGCGAAAGCGUGGGGAGCGAACAGG
rnacentral:rRNA from 1 species